rnacentral:rRNA from 1 species
GUAGGUGGCAAGCGUUGUCCGGGAAUUAUUGGGGCGUAAAGCGCGCGCAGGCGGUUCUUUAAGUCUGAUGUGAAAGCCCACGCCUCAACCGUGGAGGGUCAUUGGAAACUGGAGAACUUGAGUACAGAAGAGGAAAGCGGAAUUCCACGUGUAGCGGUGAAAUGCGUAGAGAUGUGGAGGAACACCAGUGGCGAAGGCGGCUUUCUGGUCUGUAACUGACGCUGAGGCGCGAAGGCGUGGGGAGCAAACAGGAUUAGAUACCCUGGUAGUCCACGCCGUAAACGAUGAGUGCUAAGUGUUAGGGGGUUUCCGCCCCUUAGUGCUGCAGCUAACGCAUUAAGCACUCCGCCUGGGGAGUACGGCCGCAAAGGCUG